UGGAGGGUUUCUCUGCCUGGUGAGGCAUUCACAUCCUAAAGCCCAUGUGGUAACAUCCAGCAUUGCUUGGCUUCCCCUGCGCAUUGGCCUGAACCCAGGGAUUUGAAGUAGACAGGGCAGACAGACAGAGAGAAAGAAAGCUAAAGUGUAUGUAUGCCUGAGAGAGCUAGACGAGUUUGCAAGUAGGAGAGAAAAUAGAACAGAGGACCGGAGAACUGAAGAAGGGAAGAAGCAGGUGAGAGGCGAACAGUUGAAAAGGAAUCUUGAAGACCAAGUGGUGAAGAAGAUUGAUUAGCUGACUGCCCACUAUAAAUCUACUGGCAUGGCAACCAUGGAAGCACUGGAGUCCACAAGUGCUCAGCUGGAGCCACAAACCCUCACUGAGAUCUCAGACGAUGAGGUCAACCUGCCACCUUCAGACGAUGAAGAGGAAGUCCUUGCUGCAGCAAAGAAAGAGCUGUCCACCAUGGGUACAGAGGGGGAUGCUGCUGAAGACAAAGACGAUGUCAUGAAGAUGGACCCGCAGGUGAAUGGGGUGAUGGUGCUGUCUUUGCUUGACAAGAUCAUCGGUGCAGUGGACCAGAUCCAGCAGACCCAGACUGGGCUGGAGGCCAGGCAGCAAGAGAUGGAGCGCUCUGUGGGCAACAUCCAGGGCGAGCUGACCAAACUGGCCAAGAGCCACAGCACCACAUCCAACAGUGUCAACAAGAUGAUGGAGAAGGUGCGCAAGGUGAGCGUCAAUGUCAAGACUGUGCGGGCCACCCUGGAGAAGCAAGGGGGACAGAUCAAGAAGCUGGAGAACAACGAGGCUGAGCUGCUCAAGAGACGCAACUUUAAAGUCAUGAUCUACCAGGAUGAAACAAAGAUUCCCUCAAGACUCAGUAUCUCUAAAUCCAUGAAGGUCUCUGAGUCUGUGUCAGGAAGCAGAGGAGGCAGCAUGCUAGAGCUCAAGGAAGCUGUGGAUGGUGCUGCAGAGGAGGGAGUAGAGGGAGAGAAGGAAGACAGACCUCAUGUAGACCUAUCAUCAGAUGAGGAGGGGGUGGAGAUUGAGGAGACCAUUGAGGAGUCUCGUGCUGAGCGCAUCAAGCGCAGCAGCCUGCAACGUGUACAAACCCUGAAGUCGGUCUUCUCCAAGGAGAAGAUGGAUAAGACCAGGGCAAAGACCAAGGAGAAUAUGGAGAAGACCAAACAAAAAACCAAGGAUAACCUGGAGAAGACAAGGCAGAAGACAAAAGAGAACCUGGAAAAGACCAGACAGAAAACCAAGGAGAACAUAGAGAAGACCAAACAGAAGACCAGGGAGAACCUGGAGAAGACACGCCACAACAUUGAAAAGAAGAUGGGAAAACUUGGAAACCGCAUGAGUGUCAACCCUGAGCGCAAGCAGAAGAUGCAGACAUCCCGUGACAAAGUGAAGAAAUCUUUCACACCUGACCAUGUCGUUUAUGCCCGGUCCAAGACUGCUGUGUACAAGGUGCCCCCCUUCACCUUCCAUGUCAAGAAAAUCCGUGAGGGUGCCGUUGAGGUGGUACAAGGCACUGAGAUGGUGGAGGUGUCCCAGGAUGCUGACCCCUUCAGUGGAGUGGAUGGGGAAGUUGAGGAGGGAGCAGUAGAAGUUGAGAUGGAAAUGAUGAAUGGAGGAGGGGAUGAUGAAGAGGCUGAUGAGGAAGAAGAAGAAGUAGAGGAGGACAGCCACGAAGCCCUGCAGGAGAAUGAGGAUAGAGACAGAGACAGCGACUAGAUAAAACACAAGGAAUUUGCCAUGACCAUAACCAAAUUUCUUGCACCAACCCUGAGGUUCUUUUGUAAAAACUGAAUCAAUUGUGGGGAUUUAGAAGAUAGUUAAAGAAUAAUUCCCAUUUAUCACAUCUUAGUGCCUUAUUUUUGUGAUUUUGGCCAUGAUUCCCAUCAGAUGAUAACUUUAUAUUCACCAAGGUAAUUGCUAAUAUCUUGGAACAUGCUGGGAUGAUGGUG